AUAUUUUAAAAUUUCCAGUUACGAAAAUUCUUGUUUUUGACAAAAAUUUAAUGAAUAAAUAAAAUUGUUUGUGUUUGUUACCUCUGGGCCCCGAUUGCUCGAAUGCCCAAAGAAAAAGUUGCAAAGAUAUGAAAACUCCACAGUGUGUUGUAUUGAAACGGUUUUAAUUGUCCUAUAACAAAAGCACAGAAAUCUCUCACCGUUUGGAAUAGCAAGAAAGAAACUUACAAGCCUAGCAAGACCGCGCACUUAAGCGCAGGCCCGGCUGGACUCUCCAUCUCUUGUCUUCUUGCCCAGUAAAAGCUCUCAUGCUCUUGCCAAAACAAAAAAAAAAACC
rnacentral:misc_RNA from 1 species